UCCCCCCCUUGCGCGGUUAUCGCCCCCGCCCCCGGCACCCCUCGGUCGCCCCGCCCCCCUCUCGCGGUUAUCGCGCACACGACGUCCACCCUGAGGCCUGAGCUCCAAACCUCGAAGAAUCCCUGCGCCCUUGCCGUCGCCUAGCUCCGCAGCUCUCCGCGCGAGGCAACAGGGCGCAAUCGCUACCCACGACGUCGCCCUCUCCGGGGCGCAAUCGCUGCCCGCGCCGUCGCCCUCUCCGUUGGCCACGCACCCAGCUGAGAGGUCCAAGAAACCGUGGCCCCUACCCCUGCCCCUGUGCCCUCGCCCUCGCCGUCACCGUCGCCCAGCUUCCCCACGCUGCACAGCUCGGCGGCUCCCCGCGCGAGUCCUUGAGCGCAAUCGCGGCCCGCGCGGUCGACCUCGCCGUUGGGCGCGCGCCUCCAGGUGCGGCCAUCGAGUUUCUUCAAGUUCUUCGUCGUCUGCCUCUAGGUGCGGCCAAAGAUUUGUUUUUGCGCUCCCCGCGCGAGUCCACAGAGCGCAAUCGCGGCCUGCGCCGUCGACCUCGCCCUCGCCCUGCAGUCCACUGAGCCUACAACAGAUCGACGAUCAUGGCGCAACCUACACCCAUGCGGCUUCCUCCUCGACGAGCGGCGGCCAAAGGGAAGACCUCCUCCUAGCGACGACCGGCUGACUUCGAUGCGUAGCCUCCUCCUCCACAUGCUUGGUCUCUUCCCUGAGCGCCUUCCUACAAUCGCAUGCUACCAGGUGUUCCGGCGGACGUACGCGCGGGUGGCCGGGUGGACGCACACCGUGGGUGGCCCGGCGGCCGGAUGCGUACAAGAAGCACAUGGUCGGGCAUACAUGUGUGGCGGGGCAGGCGGAUGGAUGCUAACAAGUGCCCCGUCAGCUUUUGGUGAUGACGUUCAGGAAGUGUUUGAGGAAUUGUCUGCAAGAGGAGCUGCAUUAAAUUUACAGUAGCAAAUUGGGACUCAUGUUACAGAAGGGUUCGUUUCAUGUGGUGGCACCUCCUGGGAUUGAUUUCAGGUGAUUUGGAGCAUACACAUCUGGUCAGAGGCUUGGACUAUGCUCUACUUCACAGUGCAGAGUGAAAUUGAAAAGGAACCUGAUGCAAAGGCUGGAAAGGAUGCAAAGUCAUGGGAGAGAGUUUUGUGGUGGGUGGGUGGGUGGGCUAACUAUGAAAUCCAUCUUGAAAUAUGAUGGCAUUUUGUGGUAUCCAUGCAUAUUUGCAGAGCAAUAGGUGUCAAUUUGCCUUUGCUUUCUUGUGUUGUACAUGGUGAUCCACUUCUUGGCGUGGUGGUGUAGCCCUAUAAGCCUGGCAGCUCCAUCUUCAACGGCAUGGUGUCGACAUUGACCAUCUCAAGCUUGAUGCAGAUUGUGCUUAUUAUGUGUGUCCUGCUGCGGUGGCUAGCUGUGGCGCACCGCCUGGGCCCGUCCAUGCUGAGGAAUCCAUCGUGUUCGCGGCCGCCUCUGCCACACAACACGCCGAUGCCAUGGAGGCUGCCGCUACAUCAUUGACGAGCUCAAGAAACUAUCAUGCUUCAGUGCUUAGUAGGCUCUUUAGGGUCCUCACUGGUUUCUUAGGUAGCUUUGCUUUUACUAUGCAACAGUGAAUAGGAGUCAUUUUAAGAUCGUCGUGAUCAAGGCGUCAACAGUACUGCAGACGUCAUGGCUGGAGCAAUUCUGUGCACUCUAGCUCUAUUGGUGAGGUGCCAAGUGGCACCCAAAGUUAUCCCCGUCGCCACCGCGCCUGCUAAAGCGGGGGGAGGGGCGUUGUUGCGAUGGAUCACCCCUGUUCCCUAAAGGCAUCACCUUUGAUCUAAUAUGUGGAUUUGUAUGGUCAUAAGUUGCUUGUGAUCUUUUCUUUGAGGGCGGUUUUCCGGCCGGUUGUUGUGAUGUCGGAAUUUGUUGUUGUGGUUCUUGCCGCUGUGUUUUCCUUGUCUAUGUUAAUUUCACGAACUUUGUCUUUUGGAUUAAACAACACUUUAACAUUGGUAUUUAAUUUUAUAGUAUUGUUAUAUUA